rnacentral:rRNA from 1 species
UAGAGUGUAUAGCUCCUGACCCAUGUGAACAUACCUCAUGUUGCCUCGGCUAGUCGUGGCUCCCUCGUAGGUCCUACCCUGUAUGCGCCAACACACAAGGCGCGGGUACCCCUGGCGGUGGCCUGACAAACUCUGAGCUCCCGUUCCAAUUCGCAACCUCGCUUAACUCGUUAAAACUUUGGUCGACAUGACUCUGGGUUCUGGCGUCCAUUAAAAAAGCAACGGACUGCGUGUGGUUUUGUGAAUUGCAUAAUUCAGUGAAUCCUCCAAUCUUUGAACGCACAUUGCGCCCAUUACUAUUCUCGUGGGCAUGCCUGUUCGAGCGUCAUUUUUCCCUUUUUCCCUUAUUGCUUAGUGUUUGGAGACUUCAGCACCGAAACUCACCUUCCUGGGUGACCGACCCGGCUCCCACUCCCUACCUGGUAGUUUCUCACCUGGUAGGACCUACGACCGGUGCCCUACCUGCCAAGCCCCAUAUUUAUAUUGUUGACCUCUUUGGGAGUUAUUACUACCCUCUAAAAUCCCCAUUGACC